AGAAUUAUUGCUAAAGGAGAAGAGGCAACAGCAGAGCUUGAUGCUAAGAUGAAGAAGUUUACCGAAGAUGCAAUAAAAUUCAAAAUGGAUGACACUGCUGAAUUAUAUGAUUUUGAUGAUGAUAAGGAUGAGAGUAAGUUUGACUUCAAGAAGAUUGUCAGUGAAAAUUGGAUUGAACCGCCGAAGAGAGAGCGAAAGCGCAAUUACUCGGAAUCUGAAUACUUUAAGCAAACAUUGCGUCAAGGUGGUCCUGCAAAACCAAAGGAACCUCGAAUUCCUCGUAUGCCUCAAUUACAUGAUUUUCAGUUUUUCAACACACAAAGAUU
rnacentral:misc_RNA from 1 species